CGAAAUACGAUACUUCGUGUGAAUUGCAGAAUCCCGCGAACCAUCGAGUCUUUGAAUGCAAGUUGCGCCCAAAAGCCAUUAGGUUGAGGGCACGUCUGCCUGGGCGUCUCACGUUGCGUCGCCUGCGGCCCCUCGAAGGAACGGCUGCGGACAGAUGUUGGCCCCCGUGACGGACGACGCGUCGUGAUGAGUGGCGGUUGACAAACCGUUGCGUCGCCUCGCGCCCGUCCGGGAUGUCUCGGGAGGCCUGUCGUGACCCUAUCGCGCCGUCGCCAAGGCGCUCCAAUUGCGACCCCAGGUCAGGCGGGAUUACUCACUGAGUUUAA
rnacentral:misc_RNA from 1 species